rnacentral:tRNA from 1 species
GAGGGUAUAUUUCUGUGGUAGAGUGCGUGCUUAGCAUGCACGAGGUCUGAGGUUUGAGUCCCCAAUACCUCCA